AGCGAACGCUGGCGGCAGGCUUAACACAUGCAAGUCGAGCGGGCAUCCUUGUGGUGUCAGCGGCAGACGGGUGAGUAACGCGUGGGAACGUGCCCUUUGGUUCGGAAUAACUCAGGGAAACUUGAGCUAAUACCGGAUACGCCCUUUUGGGGAAAGGCUUGCUGCCGAAGGAUCGGCCCGCGUCUGAUUAGCUUGUUGGUGAGGUUAUGGCUCACCAAGGCGACGAUCAGUAGCUGGUCUGAGAGGAUGAUCAGCCACGCUGGGACUGAGACACGGCCCAGACACCUACGGGAGGCAGCAGUGGGGAAUAUUGGACAAUGGGGGCAACCCUGAUCCAGCCAUGCCGCGUGAGUGAUGACGGCCUUAGGGUUGUAAAGCUCUUUUCUCCGGGACGAUAAUGACGGUACCGGAGGAAUAAGCCCCGGCUAACUUCGUGCCAGCAGCCGCAGUAAUAC
rnacentral:rRNA from 1 species